rnacentral:rRNA from 1 species
UACAGAGACCUCAAGCGUUGUUCGGAAUUACUGGGCGUAAAGGGUUCGUAGGUGGCAGAGCAAGUCAGAUGUGAAAUCCCUGGGCUUAACCUAGGAAGUGCAUUUGAUACUGCUUAGCUCGAGUGUGGAAGAGGAAAGUGGAAUUCCAGGUGUAGGGGUGAAAUCCGUAGAUAUCUGGAGGAAUACCAAUGGUGAAGACAGUUUUCUGGUCCAUUACUGACACUGAGGAACGAAAGCGUGGGGAUCAAACAGG